rnacentral:lncRNA from 1 species
UAAUAUUACACCGAUUAAGCAUAUAUUUUAUUUUGUCUUAUAAGUAAAACAGUAUUUUACAAUUUUACGACUCUUAUGAUCAUUGAACCUCAAGAAAGUAAUUGCCAUAUAUUUGUUCAAAAUUUGUGUGGAAUUGAAUUUUCAAUAUUGGAUUUCUUGCAAUAUACUUAAUUUCUUUCCAAACUGCCUGCAUUAUUUCAAUAUUGACAAUUUCAGGUCAUAUAUUAUUUCAGUGUUUUAUUAUAAUUUUGGUAAAAUGUUGGUAGAAAUGAUUGUUUGUGAAUUUGGGUAUCAAUAAAUACAUGUAAAUAUAAUGGUUU